ACGAACGCUGGCGGCAUGCCUAACACAUGCAAGUCGAACGAGACCUUCGGGUCUAGUGGCGCACGGGUGCGUAACGCGUGGGAACCUGCCCUUAGGUUCGGAAUAACUCCCCGAAAGGGGUGCUAAUACCGGAUAAUGUCUUCGGACCAAAGAUUUAUCGCCUUUGGAUGGGCCCGCGUUGGAUUAGCUAGUUGGUAGGGUAAAAGCCUACCAAGGCGACGAUCCAUAGCUGGCCUGAGAGGAUGAUCAGCCACACUGGGACUGAGACACGGCCCAGACUCCUACGGGAGGCAGCAGUGGGGAAUAUUGGACAAUGGGCGAAAGCCUGAUCCAGCAAUGCCGCGUGAGUGAUGAAGGCCUUAGGGUUGUAAAGCUCUUUUACCCGGGAUGAUAAUGACAGUACCGGGAGAAUAAGCUCCGGCUAACUCCGUG
rnacentral:rRNA from 1 species